rnacentral:lncRNA from 1 species
UCAAGACUCACAAGCAAAUAGAAAGAAGAAGAAUAACCAAGAUGAAGUGGAAAAAAAACUUUAUUAAAGAAAAAUAUGGGGUACACAAAGGCAUUACAAUCUCAACACACGAGAUUAACUUUAACACAUGUGACCCCGGGUUACACAAAGGCAUUACAAUCUUGACACUCAAGAUUAACCUUAAACAUAUGUCCCAAUUUUCUCACCACACACAUCUCUUUAACUGGAGGUUUUUAUAACCAUGUUUCCUACAAUAACUACCCACUUGUGACAAUAACUCCUAACCACCUUGUAGUUUUACAACUUCCUACUACACAAACUUACAAGUGCAACCAUACUACAUCACUCAUGGUAAAAUAACAUAAAAACUAAUAUACUUUCUAGAAAAUAUACUUUAACAAUUUUAACAUUCUAUCGUAAAUUGAUUUUCUAAAAAGGAGAUGAUGUAUAUGCUAUCAUCUCCAUUAUUUCCCGAAAUUAAAAAUCCGGCUAUUUAGCAGGCUACCAAAGAGAUUCUCAAAUUUCACCAAGUAGGGCUGCAUAACCCAUCCUUGAAUAGAGGUAGCAUUGGGAAUAUAUAUUUUUUUUAACCCACAAAUGAUAAGUCACUUUAUCUGUUCCUCCAAAUAGGUUCUUCCGCAUCAAUGGUUUUAACCUUGAGUUGAGUUCCCAACUCAACAUUAAAACCAUUAAACCUUCCACUGAAUCCAUCUUCGAAAAGAUAAUUGAUCUUUUUCACCAAAGGAGUUGAGACAACAUCACCACGACCCUUAUGGUUCUGAACCAUGUAGAGAAAUACGGAUUCCACAACAUCGGAACAAUCCGCUUCUCAAUUAGUGUGACAAUGCCACAUUAGCCCAAGACUCACAAGCAAAUAGAAAGAAGAAGAAUAACCAAUAUAAAGUGGAAGCAAAACUUCAUUAAAGAAAAACAUGGCGUACACAAAGGCAUUACAACCUCAACACGCAAGAUUAACCUUAACACAUGUGACCUCGGGUACACAAAGGCAUUACAAUCUUGAUGCUCAAGAUUAACG